UACGUACGAGGCGAGCGUUAUCCGGAAUUAUUGGGCGUAAAGCGCGCGCAGGUGGCUUGUUAAGUAGGGCGUGAAAUCUCCCGGCCUAACUGGGAGGGGUCGCCCUAGACUGGGAGGCUUGAGGCUGGCAGAGGUAGGUGGAAUUCCUGGUGUAGUGGUGAAAUGCGUAGAGAUCAGGAGGAACACCGGUGGCGAAGGCGGCCUACUGGGCCAGCACUGACGCUGAGGUGCGAAAGCGUGGGGGGCAAACAGG
rnacentral:rRNA from 1 species